GACGAACCGUGCGAACGUUGUUCGGAAUCACUGGGCUUAAAGGGCGCGUAGGCGGGCAGUCAAGUCUGUGGUGAAAUCCUCCGGCUCAACCGGAGAAUGGCUGGAGAUACUGACUGUCUCGAGGGGGGUAGGGGCAUGUGGAACUUCCGGUGGAGCGGUGAAAUGCGUAGAUAUCGGGAGGAACACCUGUGGCGAAGGCGGCCCCCUGGUCGGAUACUGACGCUGAGACGCGAAAGCGUGGGGAGCAAACAGG
rnacentral:rRNA from 1 species